rnacentral:tRNA from 1 species
UGGGUUAUAGCUCAGCAGUAGAGCGUGUGCUUAGCAUGCACAAGGUCUUGGGUUCUAUCCCCAGUCCCAC